AUCUAUUCUCCUCACAUCCGUUCUCCAUUUUGAGUUUUUAUGCUCCAAAACAGCUGCAAAAUGGAACUUUUUACAUUCCUUCCAUUCGUCUCUCCCCAAACUAGAGGAUGACCCUCUCUCUCUCGAUCGAUCGAUCGAAAGUCCAAACCUAGUCGAUCUCGUUUAGGUCUUCGUGAAUUGAUCUCCAAAUAAUAGUAGAAUUUGGAAGCCCCUCUCACAUCAUCGUCAUCGUGAUCAUCAUCAUCAUCAUCAUCUCUCUCUCUCUCUCUCUCUCUCUCUCUCUCUCUCUCUCUGUAUACACACACACACACACACACACACACAUGGAUCCGCCUACUUCUUGGGACUCCCUUCGUAAACAGGCAAGGAAGCUUGAAGCACAGUUGGAUGAUCAGAUGUAUUUGUACCGUAAGUUAGUUUCAACCAAAGUCGAUGGCAGUACAGACAAAGAUCUUGAAUCAGGGGUAGAACAACUACUCCGACAACUUAAGCAAGUAAUUUCACAUAUGCAAGCUUGGGUGUCAUCUGGUGGUUCAGAAAUAUAUUCACAUACGUUAACUCGCCAUCAAGAAAUUCUUCUAGAUCUUACUCAGGAAUUUAAUCGGCUCCGAUCUAGCCUUCGAGCUAAGAAAGAGCAUGCUUCAUUGCUCGAGGAUUUCAGUGAUUUUGAUAGGACAAGAUUAGAUUUGGAAGUGGGUGCUGGAUCUGGUGAGCAGGCCGUCCUUAAGGAGCACGCAUCCAUCAGCAGAAGUACAGGGCAGAUGGAUUCUGUAAUUUCCCAAGCACAAGGGACACUGGGUACACUCGUAUUUCAGCAAUCAAUGUUUGGAGGCAUCAAUUCAAAGCUUAGCAAUGUCAGCGGCCGACUUCCAACGGUGAAUCAUAUCCUCACAUCAAUAAAGAAGAAAAAGUCCAUGGAUACUAUCAUCAUUUCCUUAGUUGCUUCUGUCUGCACAUUUCUCAUUCUGAUUUAUUGGUUGCACAAAUAGGUAAUGUUGCGAUUCUUUCAGUGAAGUCUCGCGAUAGGUCAUCUAUAUGAUUGUAAAUACGUUGUCGGAUUGUCAGUAAAUAUUUGUAUUUUUGGUGUCACCAUAUACGAGUAAUCAUUCUACAACUUGGUUCAGGACAAACCUAUUCCUUGUUAUUUAGGUAAUUAGUCUGACAGUUAAGAUACGAUUCGCCAAAACUUCAUCGCCUUUUGAAUUUCUCUCAUGUUCUUUUUUGUCUGGCAAAAAUCUCAUUUUUGAUAGCGAAUUGGGUAUCGUCUGUUGUCUAUACUACUAUGACAAAUGUGUCUUAUCAAAUGCCUGCUACAACCUUCUCUUGGUUGAGAGUCAAAGCACUAAGGUUGUAUCUAGCGCACAUGGCUCUCUCCUACAUCGGCUUGGAUUUCCUGAAUUUGGCAUCCCAACUUAAGGUACGAAGCUGGAGAACUCCUGUUCUUUUAGAAUUGAAUUAUGUAGAUUAUAUCCAACUACCCCUUUUCCAACUAUCUAUCUGCUCUCACUUUUUCUGUUGAGGAAUUGAAAACCCCAAAUUCAUGUCUUCCAUUCUUUGACGUACGGAUGGUUUGAGAUUUCUCCAUCUUCACCACAAAGUUAGAACCCAAAGUAAUGAUGGGUUCCCCAUGAGGAAGUAGGGUUAGAAAAGGGUGGCACCAGGCUCUUGCCGCACCCUAUGAUCCACUCUCAUGACAAUUGUGUCUAUUUAAAAUGUCUUACGAGGACAUGCUCCUCUUCCUCGGCGAGUUUUGCAGAAAUUCUAGAAUCCACUCGGUAGUGGAUGUUACACAUCCUUUUGAUCAUGGUUGAAGAUGCUUCACACCAGCAGCUUUUUUGGUUUUCGGGUUUGCUGAUUCUAUUUUGUAGCAUGUGAUCUUUAAUUUACGAUUUUGUACUCAUUUAGUCUAGUUGCUUUUUGGUCUCUAGGAUUUAUGAACUUGAUGGGGGUUGUACUAAACUUUAUUGCCUUUAAGUAUAUGCUCUUUUCUGUGUGGAGGAAAAAACUUCUCUCUUGAGGAAGCAUAAUAGAACAUGGAUUAUCUCUUCAUAUAUAGACUACAAACCUUGUGAGAGCUUCCCUGGUAGGAUGUGAAUGCUGCAGUUCUGUAACUUUAUACGUGUUUUGUGUAUUGUGUUUGCGUUCUUAGUUGUAGUGAUGUUUACUGACUUCGAUAUUCACGGGUUUAGUUUUGGUUAGUUUUGCAUCUGUAUGCUCCUUCUGAAGAGUUCGUUUACUUACUUUUAUGAACGAAUGAAAUUCGUCUUUAUACCAGAAACAA